UACGAAGGGGGCUAGCGUUGUUCGGAAUUACUGGGCGUAAAGCGCACGUAGGCGGGUUGUUAAGUCAGGGGUGAAAUCCUGGAGCUCAACUCCAGAACUGCCUUUGAUACUGGCAACCUAGAGACUGGAAGAGGUUAGUGGAAUUCCCAGUGUAGAGGUGAAAUUCGUAGAUAUUCGCAAGAACACCAGUGGCGAAGGCGGCUCACUGGCCCGAUACUGACGCUGAGGUGCGAAAGCGUGGGAGCAAACAGGGAU
rnacentral:rRNA from 1 species